UCAAAUCUAAAACGUACUUCGCUAUUAUUGGCCUUUGUUCUUGGUCAUUCCAUCAGUAGCCUUACUUUCCUUAUCCACUCAAUGCUUUGAAAGCACAUAAUGUAAUAUAUGUGACCUUCGGUUAAUUAGUAUUGUUGUAAACAAAUUCCACAAGUGACAGUAAGCAUAGAGGAACAUCCUUACCUGCUGUUUGGAACAUGCCAGAUGGUGCGCAGAUAGUUGUAAAAUGCAAUCAUCUUGGCCAGCCUAUUGGGGACGAAGGUGGAGUCCUGGGGAAAUUUCUUGGCACAAUAGCUAGACUUGGGGGCUAUUGUCCACUUGACAAAAAGGACUGGUGUAAUAUGAAGAAGGAUGGUGGGGCUGACACAAUACUUCAGUGUGUACAGACAAAGUUCUUGUACCCUGCUAAGUGUGACAAGUGGAUACUGAAAACUACCGGGCGUCGAUGAGAUUGGAGAAGAUUCAAGGCUGGUCUGAAGAAGAAUUUCUUUAAUGCAAACAAGAAAAGAAAAUCUUUGUAUAAGCUUUGUCCAGAAUAUGUGGAUAGUGACCAAUGGCGUGAACUUGUCAAGUUUUGGAAGUCUAAGGAAGGAAGGGCAGUAAGUGAGAAGAACAAAAUAAGUCGUACAAAGGUGAAGACAAGUCAUACAGUAGGGACAAAGAGUUUUGCUCGUUGGGCUGAGGACCUUCGUCAAGAGGACCCUGAGAAGAAGCAACCACAUAGAGCGAAGGUUUAUUUAGCGACUCAUAGAAAACCAAAAAAGGCCAAAGAUAAAAAUAAGCUUGUGGUUGAAUUGAAAAAGGUAAUUAGUGAACAACCAGAGUUGGCACAAAGUGACCAGGGAAGAGUUGCAUGGAAAGGUGAUGCCUAGCACAAAGUUUUGGGGAAUGAAAAGCCUGGACAAGUACAUGGAAUGGGCUUGCUUCCUGUUCCUAACCAAGUUUAUGGUCGAAAACCUCGUUAUCUCAAGAACAUCAAUGCGACCACAACAAAUGGUUCAUCACAUGAUGAAGAGGCUGGUGCUAGGGAGGAGAUUGCAAAGCUGAAGCAACGCAUAGAACAGCAAGACCAAAUCAUUGAUGCAUUAAGAAACAAAGAUGAAGUG